ACUACCAAGCAGAGCGGCGAUACACCAGUUCCCAGAAGAUCACUGAAGUUAAGCAACGUUGCGCGCGGUUAGUAUCCGGUUGGGUGACAAUCGGGGGAAUCACAUGUUACUGGCUUUU
rfam:Asian citrus Psyllid, Diaphorina citri - Florida Strain, whole genome shotgun sequence.